AAAGAAAUUGUUGAGAGGCAACUGCAACCCCAGCUGUCAGCUUACUGGUCCGAUUUUGUACACCGAAAUCCCCAACGGCGGCCGCCACGAUGCGCCUCCGCGGCCGGGCAAUCUUCCCCCUCGUCCGCACCACCACCACCACGUCGGCCGCGUCUUCGCCGCCGGGGGUGCUGAGCGUCGGCCACGCGCUGCGCGAGCGCCGGCGCUUCACGGAGGACGACGUGGCGGCGUACGCGGCGGUCAGCGGCGACCGCAACCCGGUGCACCUCGACGACGCCGUCGCCCGGGAGCUGGGCGGGUUCCACCGAGGCCGCGUCGUGCACGGCAUGCUCGUCGCGUCCCUCUUCCCUUCCAUCAUCGCCGCCAGCUUCCCUGGCGCGGUGUACGCCAGCCAGACGCUCAAGUUUGCGGCGCCGGUGUACGUCGGAUAUGAGGUGGUUGCUCAAGUCCAGGCACUCAACAUCAGGACGACAGGGGCGGCGAACAGCGGCGCGGCAAGCCGAUACGUUGUCAAGUUCGCAACCAAAUGCUUCAUGGACGAAGAGGAGGGCUCUGUUGCAAUUGAAGGGGAAGCAAUGGCUGUCCUGCCUACACUGGAGCUCAGCUCUCAGUCAACUAGCAAGCAGUAGUGAAAGGUGGCCUGAAACCGGGUGACUAGUCAAAUGUUGCUGUUGCUCAAUAGUAGUUGGAGUAACACAAUGCACAAGCUAGUCGGAACUUAGAACAUCUUGUGCUGUCUUUCAUGAGCUUAUCAUAUCCCAACCUGAAUUAUCAAGGUCAUACCCCAUGGCCCAAAUUCGCUCUAGGAUGAAACUGCACUCGGGAUGGGGCAGCCACACAUUGCACAUAUCUUGGGUCCUUUAAAAAGAACAAUUGGACAAUGUGAAACAGGUAUGUAUUUUGUAAAAAUCUAAGAAUAGAAGCAUAUAGAAUAUAUAUAUACACUGACACCAUGACUAAUUUGAGAACUAUUAUUACUUAUUAACAUAAUCUUAUGGAUUAAAAAAUGUCAUGCAACCUGCAAAAGAAAUAAUUUAGAAAAAAUGUUACUUGUUCUUGGUGUGGAGCAGCUCAACCAGGUACACCACCUCAGCCCAUAUUUGGUACCAGUGUGCUGACCGCCUCUAGCACACCUCCAUGACUUCUACUGUAGUAUCCCAGAGCUGAAACCAGACCUGCUUACCUCUUUCUCCCAAGCCGACCAGAUCAGUAGAGGAUUCUCCUCUACAGCAGGCGUGGAAGAGAAAAAAAAAAGUUAACAGUGGUGAUGAUCCUCAAGUGAUCUGGACCAUCCGCGUACAUCGAUGGUGCAAUGUAGCGGAUGGUAAAAUAGCUAGUGGGGACAGUGGAGUGGUACAUUAGCUAAUGGUCUCCCAUAGUGCCAUAUAGGCAAUUUUGGCUUUUAGUUACAUACUAUCGAAGAUUUUAGUUACAUUAGGCUUGGUCCAGUUGCUUUACCUGCAGCAGAUUUGUACUUGUGCCAUCCACCUCCCACUGUCACAAGGUACAGAUCACUUAUUGGUGGAUGGAUAGCAUAUGGUUAGCAAAUUGAAUGGAGUGUGCACUGAUGGCCAAACAAUAACAAAAUUCUAAUACUUAACUUCUUCAUGUUUAUUAUAUGGUUUGGUGCAUCAGGCUGACCCUUAAGAGCACAGUACACCAGACCAUCUAGUAGGAUGCACAACUAGUUGUGUAAUUGUCUGUGUAAUCAAUCCUGAAUCCAGCUCUCGUUACCUUCAAUUCUGUCUUGCCCUCAUGAGCUGAUUCUUUAGCAAAAUAGGCCCGAGUCUUCACAAUUACAUUUCAAAACUGUGAUUGUACCAGGCCUCUAUGUGGCCCCAUUUGUUCUUUGUUCCAGGCUCUACUCCAAGUAGACCUCAACUCUGUAUCCAUCUUAGCAGCUUCUUGCUGCGGGUAAUAAAGUUUCUUGCUUUUGUCAAAAAAAA